rnacentral:rRNA from 1 species
CGUGUAGGCGGCCAGGUAGGUCCGUCGUGAAAACUCGAGGCUUAACCUCGAGACGCCGGCGGAAACCAUCUGGCUAGAGUCCGGAAGAGGAGAGUGGAAUUCCCGGUGUAGCGGUGAAAUGCGCAGAUAUCGGGAAGAACACCCGUGGCGAAGGCGGCUCUCUGGGACGGUACUGACGCUGAGACGCGAAAGCGUGGGGAGCGAACA